CUCGACUGAGCAAGACGUUUAUCGAUGGAAGUUGCCAUUCGUUGAAUCUUGGUACCAUUUUCCAUGAUAUCAUAAGUCGACCGAACUCGAUAAUGAAGAAGAAAAUAAAAGAAGAGAGAGAGAGAGAGAGAGAGAGAGAGAGAGAGAGAAAAAAGAGAGAGAAGAAAAGAAAGAAAGAGAGAAUCAACUCCCCCGAGUAACAAAUGGCCGACUUUACGAGAAGCGAAGAGACACAGGACAGAGUGGUCUCCGGUUUCCAUCUCGGUUUCGGGAAAACUUGCGCCGGGUUGCACGUGUUUCUGACAUUAUCAUCGCGGCCAGUAAAUCGUACGACGAGUGCCCAGAAUCCUGCUGACCUGAUCCCGAGGAAAAACAUCUGCCGGUAUUUCGAUGAGAGAAGGAAGGAAAAUGUCCAAGAAUCAUCAAGAAGAAACAUAUUCGAGAAGUGUCUAUAAAAGAAAAAAAGAAAAAAAAAAAAAAAAGAAAGGAAAGAAAAGAAAAAAAAAGUCCAUUCGUACGAGAUAAUAAAGAAGAAAGAUUCGAUGGACGAUAAUACUUAUUAAAAGGAUUUCGAAUUGAUCGUUCAUUUAAGAAAAAAGAAAAAAGAGAAAAAAGAAAGGAACGAAAAAAAUAAAAUAAUAAAAAACCAUAGGAACACAAAUAGGAAGAAAGAGUGAAAUGGUGUGAGAGAGAAAAGGAAUAUUAUAAAGAGAGAUAAAAAAAAAAAAAAGAAAAGAAAAAGGAGAAGAAAAAGAAAAAGAGAGAGAAAGAUAAAAGAGUAGAGGAAAGAGAUAAAAGAAACGGUACGUGUAACAUAACUAAAAAACAAUGGUAAGAAAAAAGAAUAGGAGAAACGGGAAAGACGAUAGAAUAUAAGAAAGAGAUAGGGCUAAGGAGAAGAGGACAUAGGAUCGCGAAGGAAGAGAGGAGUUAGGCGGAGGGAAAGAGAGAAAGAGAGAGGGAGAGAGAGAGAGAGAAAGUGAGGCCGCCUAAAAUAGGGGGCAAUAAAUUGUCCACUAUCUUCGCCGGGUUAAACACAUUAAAGCGUCUUGAGAUAAGGCUGCCUGGCGGCCCGUUUGUUCACGGGGUUCCUGCCGACCGACAUGAAGGACUGCAACGUGUUAUCCGCGCCAGGAAGAGGGUAAGAGAGAAAGGAGAGUGCCGUACGAUGAGAGAAAGAGUGAGAAAGAGAAAGAGAGGACCUCUCUCUCUCUCCCUCUCUCUCUCUCUCUCUUUCUCUUUCUCUUCGCUAUUAUUCUUGCCACCAGUUGGUGCACUCGCACUCCGACACGAAUUCUAAGCGCACGAGUGUUGCAUCGAGAGCCCUUAACACCGUCAGUAUACCGCCGACUGUGUUCACCCAACUCUACCGACACUUUUCGUCUCUCUCUAUCUAUGUCUCUCUCUCACUCACUCUCUUUCUCUCUCUCUCUCUCUCUCUUUCUUCCUUUCUUUCUUUCUUUCUUUCUCUGUCUUCUUUACUUUCUCGAUAUAAGGAAAGAGAGUGGCACCGCGAUAAUGUCCUUAAAGUGCCUUCCAACGUAUUCACGAUGAACAUGGCUAAACGAAAUUUACAAUGGCCGUUUUUAACGAAUUCAAGGAGAACUGAAAUGAUUAUAAAUUUGUAUUAAAUAUUAUCAGAAAAAGACAGAGAGAGAGAGAAGGAGAAGGAGAAAAAAAGAACAUUAAUUUCUCAUUCGCGUUCGUUUUUAUGUCGGUUAAAAUCGGUAAAUCACAAUGCAAGACUACUGCCCGUGGCAUCUGGUUGGCAUACCGUAAAAUAACGGGUAACUUUUCGUUAAUAAGAAAAAUGAAGUCGAGACGAGAAGGCAAGAAGACGAGAUGAGAACGACGGCUGCGAGCUUACCGAUUUUUCCGCACCUACGAAGGGUUAACUUUGUGACUUCCCUUUGGAUAAUGCGGUCGACAGACGGUGUCGACUUAAGAACGACACUCCUGAGCUUACGAACGAAGGAUAUUGUAGAAGAGACGAGGAUGCCAAUAGAGAAUUCCCAAUUACUCUGCAAUUAAGAAGCGAUUAUUUUGCAUAGACGAGAGAGAAAACUCUCUCUCUCUCUCUCUCUCUCUUUCCGAGCGUAAACCAUCGCCAUCAGGCGUCAGGCAAAAUGCGCCGCGUGUCACCAAGAACUUACGCCCGAAUAAUAUUUUAACGAGCCUCGUAAAACGAUUGCGAGGAAUAUGAUGCGAGAGGAGGGCUCGAUACCUCACAAUCUUCUGCUCUUUUCCCCUCUUUAACACAACGAACGAACGAACGAACGAACGAACGAACGAACGAACGAAUGAACGAACGAACGAAUGAAGGAACGAACGAACGAAGGAACGAAGAAUGGAGGUUCAAGGAAAAAGGCACUUUGCAUAUUCGUCCCUUCUUAAUAAUCUUCGAGGCGAUUAAGUACUACGUGGAUCUUCUUCUAACCAAAAGGAAAGCCAUUAUGGUGAGAUUAUCGAACAGAGAGAGAGAGAGAGAGAGAGAGAGAAAGAGAGAGAGAGAGAGAGAGAGAAGGAGAGAAGGAGAAAGAGAGGGAGAGAGAGAGAGAGAGAAAUAUCGUGGAUAAAGCUUUUGACAAAAAA